AGCUUGAGUACCAGAACCCAGAGCCAGAACCCUUCACAGGGCCUGGUUCACGGCAGUCAAUAGUCACUCCAUACAUUUUUGGCGACAGACUGAGUAUCUGGCUGUCUAACUAAGAUCAUCAAGGGCCUGGCGUAGGAGAGGCAAAUGAAUCGAAUGAAGAAAUAGCCCUGUAUCCAGCUACAGUGUUCCUUAGUGAUUGAUGGAGAGCGAAGUCUUUCUAAUGAGGUAGUCUUGGAUCCUGGAUUCACCAUUUGCAUCUUCAUAACCUGGGCGGAAGUGAUUCAACUUCUCUAAGGCGACUCCAUGUCGUCCACAGCAACUGCUAAGCCCAAAUCCAUACGACACCCCAGUGGUCAGCCAGAACCAGGACGACCGCCUGCAGGACCUUGUCACCGACCUCAGUUCUCUGGUCUCUUUAAACGAGAAAUCCCCAUUUAGGACCCUCAGAGCCGCAUCGAUGCUAAAAGCAUGUUUCCAGGACAUCUCCACGCUGUGUCAGUAGGAAAAUUCUCCAGAUUCACAACAUGUAACCAUACUCGCAACUUACUCUUAAACAUGAUUCUCAUCUAUAAAUGCUAAGCUGAAACUUACUGGACCUUCAGUUUCUCCAAGUUCACUUCCUCUGGUCUCAGAUUCUUAGAUCUUAUUCCUUUUGUUUAGUGUCCUGAGCAAGAACUUCCUGAUGAAUCUGCCUUAUAAGGGGCAUGGAUUCUUCACGGUUUGGCUGUUUUCUGCUUCUUAAAUCUUCAGCUUCAAAAGAUCAUCUUUCUCAUCAGUUUAGGCUGGCAGAGUUCGGGUCGGGCAGGUUUCUCCAGCUUUACAAGUUCAGGUCAAUGGUUUUAACCAUGCAUUUAUUUAUCAUACUUAUUAUUACAUAGAAAGACUCUGAAAGACUCUCUCAGAAUUUGUAUCUUGACUUCAGGGGAGGCGUUCCAGCACCAUGGUUGAAGAACGUGGACCUGGAAUCGCAGAGAGCUCGUUUCGAACUUUGGCCCGAGUAUUGAUCAGCUGAGGAAAUUUAGGCAAAAUAUUUAACCUCUCUGAAUCUUAGCUGAUACCUUUGUAAAUACAUCAUGGAAGUGAAGAUGAGGUAGGCAUGGAAAGUGCUAAACACAGUGGCUGGCACUUAAUAACUACUCAUAAAACAGUCUGCUAUCAUUCUUGUUAUUUUAUUUUUCACCUCAGAUUAUUGUUAACUGAAUUAUGCAAAUACAACAUUAUUUCCCCAAAUUUAUUCACUGGAUAGAAAAUAUUCCACGUCCGUCAAUCACAGUGAGUGACUUUCUGUUUUAAUAAUUCUCAACUGGGUAAAGGGGGUGGGAAGAAGGUAGGCAUCCUGCUUACUUCUUCUGAAAACCUUUGCUGCUGUUGUAUAUUCGGGUUUUUUUGUUUUUUUGUUUUUGGAGUACCCGAAAGUCUCCAGACUUCAUCAGGUUGUUGACAAAUAAAAUCAUAUUGACAUGGAUAUCCAAACGCCCUACUUGCACCUGCUCAGGCAGAACUCCAGUUCCCAGCAAAGCCCACCCCUGCUGCCCACCCCAGGUGCUCCUGGAGUCAUCAGGGUACCCCUCCCAUGUUCUGCUGGCAUCUGAUAACUACCCCUUCACCACAAGGCUUCCCACACUGACGCCUGCUGCCUACGAGAGGACCUCCCUUCCACAGCAGACAGCAAACCCUCCACCAAAGCCAGGAGCACUGCUUGUGAAGCUCCCACAGACCCUGACCCGGGAGAGGUCAGAGCAGUGCUGGGUUCCAUCCCGAUGGGGAGAGUGCUUCUUUCUCGUAUCCAUGCAGCAAGUUGUCACCUGGGCCCAGCCACAGAGCUGCUCAUGUCCUUGACCAUACGCGGGGCCUCAGGAAAACAGCCCCUUCCACCUUGCCUGG
ensembl:lncRNA